rnacentral:rRNA from 1 species
GCAACGCGCAGAACCUUACCAACCCUUGACAUGGGUAUCGCGGCUCCAGAGAUGGAGCUUUCAGUUCGGCUGGAUACCACACAGGUGCUGCAUGGCUGUCGUCAGCUCGUGUCGUGAGAUGUUCGGUUAAGUCCGGCAACGAGCGCAACCCACAUCUUAGUUGCCAGCAUUCAGUUGGGCACUCUAGGAAAAACUGCCGAUGAUAAGUCGGAGGAAGGUGUGGAUGACGUCAAGUCCUCAUGGCCUUACGGGUUGGGCUACACACGUGCUACAAUGGCAGUGACAAUGGGUUAAUCCCAAAAAGCUGUCUCAGUUCGGAUUGGGGUCUGCAACUCGACCCCAUGAAGUCGGAAUCGCUAGUAAUCGCGUAACAGCAUGACGCGGUGAAUACGUUCCCGGGCCUU